UAGGAUAGUGUUAGUGUGUGGGGGAUCUCUGGACGGCACAGACUCGGUUGGGUCGGAGGGUCUGUUUCCACGCUGUAUCUUUAAAACUAGAACUAAAACUAAAA